GGAUGAUCAGUCACACUGGAAUUGAGACCCGGUCCAGACUCCUACGGGAGGCAGCAGUGGGGAAUAUUGGACAAUGGGCGAAAGCCUGAUCCAGCCAUGCCGCGUGUGUGAAGAAGGUCUUCGGAUUGUAAAGCACUUUAAGUUGGGAGGAAGGGCAGUAAGUUAAUACCUUGCUGUUUUGACGUUACCAACAGAAUAAGCACCGGCUAACUUCGUGCCAGCAGCCGCGGUAAUACGAAGGGUGCAAGCGUUAAUCGGAAUUACUGGGCGUAAAGCGCGCGUAGGUGGUUCAGCAAGUUGGAUGUGAAAUCCCCGGGCUCAACCUGGGAACUGCAUCCAAAACUACUGAGCUAGAGUACGGUAGAGGGUGGUGGAAUUUCCUGUGUAGCGGUGAAAUGCGUAGAUAUAAGAAGGAACACCAGUGGCGAAGGCGACCACCUGGACUGAUACUGACACUGAGGUGCGAAAGCGUGGGGAGCAAACAGG
rnacentral:rRNA from 1 species